GCCGCGGUGGCGAAAUUGGUAGACGCGCUGCGUUCAGGUCGCAGUUCUCGCAAGGGAUUGGGAGUUCGAGUCUCCCCCGCGGCA
rnacentral:tRNA from 1 species